rnacentral:rRNA from 1 species
UACGUAGGUGUCGAGCGUUGUCCGGAUUUAUUGGGCGUAAAGCGCCCGCAGGCGGCUUGGCAAGUUCGAGGUGAAAUCUCCCGGCUCAACUGGGAGGGUGCCUCGGAAACUGCCAGGCUUGAGGCAGGGAGAGGGAUGUGGAAUUCCCGGUGUAGUGGUGAAAUGCGUAGAGAUCCGGAAGAACACCGGUGGCGAAGGCGGCCUGCUGGGCAGUAGCUGACGCUGAUGCGCGACAGCGUGGGGAGCAAACAGG